rnacentral:rRNA from 1 species
UACGUAGGGGGCAAGCGUUGUCCGGAAUCAUUGGGCGUAAGAAGCGUGUAGGCGGCCCGGUAAGUCCGCUGUGAAAGUCCAGGGCUCAACCCUGGGAUGCCGGUGGAUACUGUCGGGCUCGAGUCCGGAAGAGGCGAGUGGAAUUCCUGGUGUAGCGGUGAAAUGCGCAGAUAUCAGGAGGAACACCAAUGGCGAAGGCAGCCCCCUGGGCUAACACUGACGCCUCAGGCA